rnacentral:rRNA from 1 species
AUACGUAGGGAGCGAGCGUUGUCCGGAAUUACUGGGCGUAAAGGGCGCGUAGGCGGCGCUUCAAGUCGUCUGUCAAAUGGGAGGGCUUAACCCUUUUUCGCAGACGAAACUGGAGAGCUUGAGAAGCAGAGAGUCAAACAGAAUUCCUGGUGUAGCGGUGAAAUGCGUAGAUAUCAGGAAGAAUACCAGUGGCGAAGGCGGUUUGCUGGCUGCAUACUGACGCUGAAGCGCGAAAGCCAGGGGAGCAAACGGGAUUAGAUACCCCGGUAGUCCUGGCAGUAAACGAUGUAUGCUGGGUGUGAGACUAGCGAUAGUUUCGUGCCGAAGUUAACGCGAUAAGCAUACCGCCUGGGGAGUACGGUCGCAAGAUUGAAACUCAAAGGAAUUGACGGGG